rnacentral:rRNA from 1 species
CCCUUAGAUGUUCUGGGCCGCACGCGCGCUACACUGAUGCAUUCAACGAGCCUAUCCUUGACCGACAGGUCCGGGUAAUCUUUGAAUCUGCAUCGUGACGGGGAUAGAUUAUUGCAAUUAUUAAUCUUCAACGAGGAAUGCCUAGUAGGCGCAAGUCAUCAACUUGCAUUGAUUACGUCCCUGCCCUUUGUACACACCGCCCGUCGCUCCUACCGAUUGAGCGGUCCGGUGAAGACUCAGGAGAUGGGCGCGUGCUUGGUUCGCCAACUGCGCUGCCUGCCAAAUUUGUCUAAACCUUAUCGCUUAGAGGAAGGAGAAGUCGUAACA